AACGAACGCUGGCGGCAUGCCUAACACAUGCAAGUCGAACGAGACCUUCGGGUCUAGUGGCACACGGGUGCGUAACGCGUGGGAACCUGCCCUUAGGUUCGGAAUAACUCCCCGAAAGGGGUGCUAAUACCGGAUAAUGUCUUCGGACCAAAGAUUUAUCGCCUUUGGAUGGGCCCGCGUUGGCUUAGCUAGUUGGUAGGGUAAAAGCCUACCAAGGCGACGUUGCAUAGCUGGUCUGAGAGGAUGAUCAGCCACACUGGGACUGAGACACGGCCCAGACUCCUACGGGAGGCAGCAGUGGGGAAUAUUGGACAAUGGGCGAAAGCCUGAUCCAGCAAUGCCGCGUGAGUGAUGAAGGCCUUAGGGUUGUAAAGCUCUUUUACCCGGGAUGAUAAUGACGGUACCGGGAGAAUAAGCUCCGGCUAACUCCGUG
rnacentral:rRNA from 1 species